rnacentral:rRNA from 1 species
UUGUCUCUCUUGAGUGGAUCCUGAGUACGACGGAGCACGUGAAAUUCCGUCGGAAUCUGGGAGGACCAUCUCCUAAGGCUAAAUACUCUCUAGUGACCGAUAGUGAACCAGUACCGUGAGGGAAAGGUGAAAAGCACCCCGGAAGGGGAGUGAAAUAGAACCUGAAACCGUGUGCUUACAAGUAGUCAGAGCCCGUUAAUGGGUGAUGGCGUGCCUUUUGUAGAAUGAACCGGCGAGUUACGAUUUGAUGCAAGGUUAAGCAGUAAAUGUGGAGCCGUAGCGAAAGCGAGUCUGAAUAGGGCGUUUAGUAUUUGGUCGUAGACCCGAAACCAGGUGAUCUACCCUUGGUCAGGUUGAAGUUCAGGUAACACUGAAUGGAGGACCGAACCGACUUACGUUGAAAAGUGAGCGGAUGAACUGAGGGUAGCGGAGAAAUUCCAAUCGAACCUGGAGAUAGCUGGUUCUCUCCGAAAUAGCUUUAGGGCUAGCCUCAAGUGAUGAUUAUUGGAGGUAGAGCACUGUUUGGACGAGGGGCCCCUCUCGGGUUACCGAAUUCAGACAAACUCCGAAUGCCAAUUAAUUUAACUUGGGAGUCAGAACAUGGGUG